GAGUUUGAUCAUGGCUCAGGAUGAACGCUAGCGGCAGGCCUAACACAUGCAAGUCGAGGGGUAAGGCAGCAAUGCCUGAGACCGGCGCACGGGUGCGUAACGCGUAUGCAACCUACCUUUUACAGGGGAAUAGCCCAGAGAAAUUUGGAUUAAUGCCCCAUGGUAUAUAUGGAUCGCAUGGUUUAUAUAUUAAAGUUCCAACGGUAAAGAUGGGCAUGCGUCCUAUUAGCUUGAUGGUAAGGUAACGGCUUACCAUGGCUACGAUAGGUAGGGGUCCUGAGAGGGAGAUCCCCCACACUGGUACUGAGACACGGACCAGACUCCUACGGGAGGCAGCAGUGAGGAAUAUUGGACAAUGGGCGCAAGCCUGAUCCAGCCAUGCCGCGUGCAGGAAGACGGUCCUAUGGAUUGUAAACUGCUUUUUGUACGGGAAGAAACACUCCUACGUGUAGGAGCUUGACGGUACCGUAAGAAUAAGGAUCGGCUAACUCCGUGCCAGCAGCCGCAGUAA
rnacentral:rRNA from 1 species